rnacentral:rRNA from 1 species
CCUACGGGAGGCAGCAGUGGGGAAUAUUGCACAAUGGGGGAAACCCUGAUGCAGCGACGCCGCGUGAGUGAAGAAGUAUUUCGGUACGUAAAGCUCUCUCAGCAGGGAAGAAAAAAAGUCCUUUGGACUUUGGACGGUACCUGACUAAGAAGCCCCGGCUAACUACGUGCCAGCAGCCGCGGUAAUACGUAGGGGGCAAGCGUUAUCCGGAUUUACUGGGUGUAAAGGGAGCGUAUACGGCAGCGCAAGUCUGGAGUGAAAUGCCGGGGCCCAACCCCGGAACUGCUUUGGAAACUGUGCAGCUGGAGUGCAGGAGAGGUAAGCGGAAGUCCUAGUGGAGGGGUGAAAUGCGUAGAUAUUAGGAGGAACACCAGUGGCGAAGGCGGCGUACUGGACUGUAACUGACGUUGAGGCUCGAAAGCGUGGGGAGCAAACAGGAUUAGAUACCCGAGUAGUC